AUACCUCGCAAUGUGAUGAUACUACGGACGACCAUCAGUAUGUUUACAGGCGUCACAGACAUAUAGUCAUCCGGAUUACCCAAUCAGUCUGCACGACCACCCCUGUGACGACCUUGUGUCAGUCAACCAAAUCCGAUGCGAUCUGUAUUGAAUGCUGUAUUGAAUUGCUUUUAUUUGUGUGCAUUUCUAUUUUGUUCAUUUUUAAUGUGUUUAUAGAUUUACCUUUUUAUAUCUUUGUAUGGGUGAUUUUAUCUGAUUUGUACAAAUGUGCAUUGAUUUUAAACUAUAUUUUUGUGUUUCCUGGGUUAAAUAUUCUUGGGUCAGUGACUGACAACUGCCCUUGUUGAAUUAGAGGAAAUGAGAAAAUGGCCGUAUAAGUAUUUAAAGACCAAUCACCGCACAAGUUGUACGGCCGGGUAGAGAUUCUAACCCGAGAUUUGUAGUCCGGCAUUCUACUGGUAGAGCUAGCCAGCGCGAUUGUUAAUGUGUAUAUGAGGGGUUUUUUUCAAAGUUUUUCUCACACAACUGUUAUCUGAAUAGUUUAUACACAUUGUCCAUCAUUUAUACUGUGUUUUUAUUUUGUGUUUUGUUCCUGUAUAUGUACGCAAAAAUUAGACACGAAUAAACGAUUAUGCUAUC